GACGAACGCUGGCGGCGUGCUUAACACAUGCAAGUCGAACGGAGGAUUUAUUUCGGUAAAUCCUUAGUGGCGAACGGGUGAGUAACGCGUGGGCAAUCUGCCCUUCAGAUGGGGACAACAUCCCGAAAGGGGUGCUAAUACCGAAUACGAUCACGCUGCCGCAUGGCGGUGGGAUGAAAGAUGGCCUCUAUUUAUAAGCUAUCGCUGAAGGAUGAGCCUGCGUCUGAUUAGCUAGUUGGUGGGGUAACGGCCUACCAAGGCGAUGAUCAGUAGCCGGUCUGAGAGGAUGAACGGCCACAUUGGGACUGGGACACGGCCCAAACUCCUACGGGAGGCAGCAGUGGGGAAUAUUCCGCAAUGGACGAAAGUCUGACGGAGCAACGCCGCGUGAGUGAUGAAGGUUUUCGGACUGUAAAGCUCUGUUGUUUAGGACGAAAGUGCCUGUUGCAAAUAGUUACAGAUAUUGACGGUACUGAACGAGGAAGCCACGGCUAACUACGUGCCAGCCGCCGCAGUAA
rnacentral:rRNA from 1 species